rnacentral:tRNA from 1 species
GCCUCAAUGGCAGAACGGUCAUGCAUCCGCCUGCAGAGCGGAAGAAUAGGGUUCGACUCCCUAUUGAGGCU